AAUCAGGCCCAAGGUUAAUUUCACAUCAACUACUUGUUUUGCUUCUACUCAACUAUGAACUACAUUCAACAACAAAAAAUGUAAUGAUGAUCAGCGAACGUUCGUUGAGAGGGAUGACAAUUGCAAACAUUUCGAUAGCAAUUUUAGUUGUCGUGAGGAUGACAAUUUUAGUUUGCAAGCACGGGAAUUUUCUGGCGAAAAACAAAACUGCAACGGAGUUUCCGCUGCCAUGCUCACCAACUAGAAUUGCCAUGCAUGCCAACACAAAUUGCGAUCAAAAUGAUACGUAAAUGCCAUCCCUUCCAGCGAACGUUCACUGAGUGUUGGAGUCUAAAAAAAAACUAUGCACACAUUCGUAACUAUUUUUAUGGAGUACUAUUUUGCGUAGUUAUAUUCAAAAUUAAUUGCAAUGCUCAAACAGUUCUUGUUCCUUCACAGUACUAGUACUCAUAUUAUGUGUUCAUUUCUUUGGGAUUAUUUUCUUAGAAAAUGUCAAGGACUCAGAGUUGUGCAUUGAGAAUUGUAAAGCUCCUUCUAAUUUAUUUAUUUAUUUUGUAAAAGCCAGAAAAUAACUGUAUUUAGCGGCUCUACAAUAUUGUUUGUUGUAAAAAAAAAUGCCUUACAUGAGUCACUCGACAAUCUGAUUUGUAAGCUAUGCUGGUUCUCUGAACAUCAAUAUUGACUCCCAAAUUUUUUGUCUAUGGAACAAUUUGUUCUACCAGUAACUAACAAAGGAAACUUAUGUCUAUGCCUUCUAUAUCUGACGAAUUUGACCAGUGCAUGAACAAAGUGAAAGAGGUGGACUAGUAGAAAAAAAUACACUGCCAAACUUUCUUUCUUUCAAUAUCCUUGCUAUUUAUUCUUUUAAAUUAGCAUUAUUUUGUGCAUACUACUACAAAUGGUGCAUCUAUAUGUAUAUUGUGAUCCCAAAUUAUUUGACUAUUAUAAUAUCUUAUUCAUUUUUUAAUACACACCACUUCUUGCUCAUAGUUGCAUUUCCAUAAAUUGAAGCACAUCAAAUGGAUAGCUUAAUAUCCUUUUCAAUCUUCGCUCCAAGUUUUUUUACAGCAACGUCUUUGCUCAAUCUCAGUUAGUAAAUCUCAACCAGCUGUGAUAUUAUUUCAUUUGAGAGAAAUUUUGUUGUGAUGCCAAACCUACUGGUCCUUAGGAUCAUGUAACUUGUAAACGAGCUUGCACCUAGCUGUGCUAUUUUAAGCUUAGCGUCACCUGUUCUAUCCUCAGUUAGGAUGCAUGUUUGGCUUUUCAUGGACAAUUUCCUUAGCCACAUGCGCAUGAUUCCAAUUUAAUGCACUGCUUGUUUGAUUUUUCAGGCCAAGAUGGAUAAGCUUCUACUGGAUCAUGGAUGAAGUUGACGCUGCGUCAUACUUAUGCCUACUAUCAUCACGCAGAAUAAUUAAGUACACAGAAAAGAAACAACAACUUGUAUUCAGGGCCAAAAAAAGCAUCAAACUAGUAUGAUACUUUAUUCUUGUUUAAAAUAGCUGAACUUACUACCAAGCUGUAAGAGGCAUACGGUGCAAGAUUUGUCGCUAGAACUUUUGUUCAGGUAGUAAUCUUGUGGAUCGACUACCAUUUUACAUGUUUCAAAAUGUAUGAACCCCAUACUUUUUAUCUAUUGUUUCUGAAUGUCAAAAUCACGUGGAUCAUCUUCAU
rnacentral:lncRNA from 1 species